rnacentral:ncRNA from 2 species
UAAAUAGUAAAUCUCCGAGCCAGUCUGACCUAAGGAUCAAAGUCUACGGUCGCUGGACAGGACUUUAGAUCCUCAGGGUAUUCUUGGAAACAGGUAUGCCUUCACUUUUUGAAAAGGAGUACAGGUGUAAUGCUA